CAGAAAAUAGUUUAAACAAAACUCUAUCUUUGGAAGAUAGUCAUCGAGACUUUUAACUCGUUUUCUGA
rnacentral:tRNA from 1 species